GAUGAAGAACGCAGCGAAUUGCGAUAAGUAAUGUGAAUUGCAGAUUUUCAGUGAAUCAUCGAAUCUUUGAACGCACCUUGCGCUCCUUGGUAUUCUGAGGAGCAUGCCUGUUUGAGUGUCAUUAAUAUAUCAACCUCUUCAGCUUAUGCUUGUUGAGUGUUGGAUGGUGGGGGUUUGCUGGUGUCUUAUGAAGUCAGCUCCUCUGAAAUGCAUUAGCGGAACAAUUUGUUGACCGUUCAUUGGUGUGAUAAAAAUAUCUACGCUAUUGACGUCAGUCAGUUCAGCUUCUAACAGUCCAUUGACUUGGACAAAUUUUUCAUUAAUGUGACCUCAAAUCAGGUAGGACUACCCGCUGAACUUAAGCAUAUCAAUAAGCGGAGGA
rnacentral:misc_RNA from 1 species